rnacentral:tRNA from 4 species
GCUCGAGUAGCUCAGUUGGAUAGAGCAUCUGCCUUCUAAGCAGAGGGUCGUGGGUUCGAAUCCCGCCUCGAGUA